rnacentral:rRNA from 1 species
UACGUAGGGCGCAAGCGUUAUCCGGAAUUAUUGGGCGUAAAGAGCUCGUAGGCGGCCAACUAAGUCAGACGUGAAAUCCCUCGGCUUAACCGGGGAACUGCGUCUGAUACUGGAUGGCUUGAGUUUGGGAGAGGGAUGCGGAAUUCCAGGUGUAGCGGUGAAAUGCGUAGAUAUCUGGAGGAACACCGGUGGCGAAGGCGGCAUCCUGGACCAACACUGACGCUGAGUGAGCGAAAGCCAGGGGAGCAAACGGG